CCUACGGGCGGCAGCAGUGGGGAAUCUUGCGCAAUGGGCGAAAGCCUGACGCAGCGACGCCGCGUGAGGGAUGAAGGUCUUCGGAUCGUAAACCUCUGUCAGCAGGGAAGAACGGUCACUGUGCUAAUCAGCAGUGAAUUGACGGUACCUGCAAAGGAAGCACCGGCUCACUCCGUGCCAGCAGCCGCGGUAAUACGGAGGGUUCGAGCGUUAAUCGGAAUUUCUGGGCGUAAAGCGCUCGUAGGCGGUAUGUCAAGUCAAGGGUGAAAUCCCCGCGCUAAACGUGGGAACUGCCUUUGAAACUGGCAAACUGAGUGUGUGAGAGGAUAGUGGAAUUCCAGGUGUAGGAGUGAAAUCCGUAGAUAUCUGGAGGAACAUCAGUGGCGAAGGCGACUAUCUGGCACAUAACUGACGCUGAGGAGCGAAAGCGUGGGUAGCAAACAGGAUUAGAUACCCUUGUAGUC
rnacentral:rRNA from 1 species